GGAGGAAUACCCAAGUCUGGCUGAAGGGGGCGGUUUCGAAAACCGCUAGGGGUGUCACAGCCCGCGGGGGUUCGAAAUCCCUCUUCCUCCGCCA
rnacentral:tRNA from 1 species